UGGGGAAUAUUGGACAAUGGGCGCAAGCCUGAUCCAGCCAUGCCGCGUGAGUGAUGAAGGCCUUAGGGUUGUAAAGCUCUUUCACCCACGACGAUGAUGACGGUAGUGGGAGAAGAAGCCCCGGCUAACUUCGUGCCAGCAGCCGCGGUAAUACGAAGGGGGCUAGCGUUGUUCGGAAUUACUGGGCGUAAAGCGCACGCAGGCGGUUCGGUCAGUCAGAAGUGAAAGCCCCGGGCUUAACCUGGGAACUGCUUUUGAUACUGCCGAGCUUGAAUCACGGAGAGGGUAGUGGAAUUCCGAGUGUAGAGGUGAAAUUCGUAGAUAUUCGGAAGAACACCAGUGGCGAAGGCGACUACCUGGCCGUCGAUUGACGCUCAUGUGCGAAAGCGUGGGGAGCAAACAG
rnacentral:rRNA from 1 species